UUUAGUGUUUUUCACCUAUCCAGAAUGAUGCAAACAGUUUGGGACCUUUGGGUGUACUUACCAUAUUUUUAUCAGUUUGUUGACGAAAACCUGACUGUCUUGGAUUUCUUGUUCGGAAGUCAUUUUCUUGGAGCUAGCUUUAACUUUUGGUAACAGGGAUUAUAAACUAUUUCAAUAUACAACGCAGGCUGCAGAGAGAUGCUUUGCCUCUAUUUCAUAUGUUGAGAGUGACUUAUAAAUCAAGUCUAGCUAGAGAACCUGCAUUUAAUGAGUUGCUAGAUGAAAUCGCGGAGAAGUUUUAUGGAGUCCAACGUCGGAAUCCCCUAGAAUGGAUGUUAGGGGACAUCUUCAAGAUGAUGGGGUGAGCAGCAAUACGAAGUUCUCUCCGGCCUUCGACAGUUAAUGAUGCUUGCGGUGUCUGUUUUGCCAUUGAAAUGCAGUACUUGUUAAUCUUGUAUG